rnacentral:lncRNA from 1 species
AGAAAAUAUGACAGAUACAAUGAACCUUUAAAUGGCAUUUUUAAGCCACUCAUUAAUAUAUAUUGAAAAGCAAAAAUAAAUCAUUGAUGAAAGAUUUAAGCAAAAAAUAUAACAGGUGAGGGAUUCAGGCUCUUGGGAGCCUCUUGUUUUGAGUUAGUUAGCACCUGAACAGGACCUGAUGACCAUAUUCAUUUUUCAUCAGACUCGAAAUACAAAAUCACAUGAACAGAUGACCUCUAUUAUGAUUUCAAGGUUGAAACACAACCAUAUCUCUGUAACAACAUAUCAGACUACUUUGCUUCACAGCCUUGAUUAGGCUUCAUGAACUUAAAUAAUCACAAUAAAGAAAGGAUGACACAUUAGGUCUAGAUUUUAAAAAUUCAAACAAAGGUCAUGAAUUAAAAGACAAAAUAUAUAGUGACCAUGUUUUAAAACUAGUGCUUAUGUAUUAAUCAGCUGCAAACUAAUUGUACAGUUUUGUUAGAGUUGAAUUUGUUAAAUAUGUUGUUUGUUGUUUUGUUACAAGUUUAAAGACUUUUCUCUUUAUGUUGGUUGAUAUUCCU